UACGGAGGAUGCAAGCGUUAUCCGGAAUGGUUGGGCGUAAAGCGUCCGCAGGUGGCUAUGUAAGUCUGCUGUUAAAGAGUGAGGCUCAACCUCAUAAGAGCAGUGGAAACUACAUAGCUAGAGUGCGUUCGGGGCAGAGGGAAUUCCUGGUGUAGCGGUGAAAUGCGUAGAUAUCAGGAAGAACACCGGUGGCGAAAGCGCUCUGCUAGGCCGCAACUGACACUGAGGGACGAAAGCUAGGGGAGCGAAUGGG
rnacentral:rRNA from 1 species